GGAAGGCCAGUGAUGAGAUUCAGCCAGUUCAUUCCGGUUCGUGCGACUGUGGGAGGCUUCGCCUGCCCACCCGGACAAAAUGCGCAACUGCUGCACAUGUGCAGAAGGCCGUACACAUGCACACGCUCACAUUUGCGAACCGGUAGGGAAGCCUACACUCUCAAAACAAGUGCAUGCUGGGAAGCCAGACUCCAUUUCUUUUAGCAUUUGGCGAAGACAGAAGCACAAAGAAGAAUCCAUCUUAAUCUGUGGCACAAGGGUCAUCCAAGGAGAAACCCACAUCCCACAUACACAGCAUCGCUGAGAGAACUCUCAGAAAGUUCAGACUCAACAAGGGCAAAGGAUUACUCUGCAGCUACUACAGUACUCCUACAUGAAGGAUAUGUACUCCCUAAUUCUGUAAUGCAGGGGAGUCCAAACUUGGCAACUUUAAAACUUGUGGACUUCCAA